rnacentral:lncRNA from 1 species
UCACCUUUACUUUGAAGUACUUCUUUCUUGCUUUAUUUGAUAUGCAUGAAAAUAAAGUAGUUGGGUCCAACGCCCCUAAGACAACACGCCUUAAUUUGAUUAAACGCGUAACUAAAAUCAAUCACCAUCCCUAGACCGAGAUUCAACACAAGGCUAGUGUUGAAUCUAAACAAAGGUUCAUAGUCAUCCUAAGGCCCUAAGGCAACUAUAUAGUCCAUCAAAUGAAUGCAAAGUUUAUGUUAGUAGUAGCAUAUACUCUUGCUUUAAAAACCGUUUUAUAAGCAUAGUGGGAGUAUUAUAUACAACUAAAACAAUCAUAUGGACCAAUAGUUGUAAUAGGACCAAAAUUGUUUUAAUAAAGAUUAAAAUGAAUAUUUAUAUGUGAGGAGACCUAAAACCCUCAACCAAACCAUUAUUAAGUUGAUAAGCGUGAGAGUGCUUUGAACACUCUUUCGUGGCCUUCCACCAUGGUGGGCUUCAAUCGUUUGUGACUCAUACACCGUAUUAAUCCAGUUCUGGGGUUGCAAAGUAUGUGCUUACAUUCAGGAGAAGCCUAUGCACAUAUGAUGAAGUGAAAGGUAGGCAACGAGUGUGGUUAAUAUGAUAUUCUUCUGAGGCCAUCCUUGAACCCCUACUUGAACUAGCAUGGUGGGAAUGACUUAACUAAGUGCAAUGUGCCAAUAUGAUAUUCUUCUGAGGCAUCAUUCUCUAGAGGCCAAACUAGAUGGGUACUUGCAAGAGAUGCAAAUGAGUAAGCGUACUCUCUCAUUAUUAUUAAAGCUAGCCAAUAUGAUUUUCUUCUGAGGUGGGCUUGGUAGUAGUGAGUCUCCCAUACCUUACUAAGAGUUUCCUCCAAAACUCUCGAAUUCCAAUGAGGGAUAUGGAAUUUGCCAAAAAUAGUGGGUGGUGCUAUUUGAUUUAAAGACCCGAAUCAAAUGGCUUAAAAUCAAUCAAUUUAUAUUCGUUAUGUAUUUGUUUACCAAUAUAUUUGCAAACGUUAUCCAACACUUGACAAAUAAAAGCCGAAAGCUUUAGUUUCCGGACUUGGUACUACAAAACCAUAGAUUGUCUUUAAUGGCUUGUAAAUGUACCUAAGUAAUCUCAUCCUCACAAUCUUCCUAUUGAUAAUGUAUCAUUAGAAGAAUAUGUUAGAAAAGUCUAUCAUAAAGAGGACAACACUUUUAAUGUCAUAAUUCUUCAAUUACAAAUUGUUGUAUGAAGAAAUAAGAGUUGCUUUGAACAACUCUUAAUCAAUGCAAACAUUAGUGCUUGUUUCUUUGUUACAUGAACAAGGAACUUUAGAAGAAAGCACAAGUGCAUGGACACUUUAUGUGCCAUGAUUCUUCACUUACAAAUUGUUGUAUGAAGAAAUGAGAGUUGCCUUGAACAACUCUUGAAAGUUUGUAAUUAUGUUUAGAACAUAAUGGUUGGUUGACAAACAUAGUCCAUUAACAUGGACUUAUGAUGAUUUUGAAUCAUUGAGUGUUGAAGUGUUAAACCACUUAACGAGACGGAAACUAGGCAAGGACUUCACCUUUGAGUCCCUAUCCUAAUGGUUCACUAAGUUUAUUGUAAACUAUAUGGUGAACAAUAACCACACACUCUCCGAAAUGUUUGAUGUGUAUAACACAAUUGAAAUAAGUUUCAAGAGAGAUAGUGGGAGUUUAGGGACCAUGACUAAUGUAGUCAACGGUGAAAGUCAAAUGAAGAAGAUAAGAAUUAACUCCAAGGGAACAAACUUUCUUUAUGAAAGGAUGGACAUUGGAAGGGGUAUUUGCAAGAAAUGUCUUGCAAGUGUCAAGAACACACAUUUCGAAGGUGUUGUAAAUUGUUCUUGAAUUGUUCAAAAUAGUUGGUUCUUCUACUUGAAUGCUUGAUUUUGUAUUAGUAACUAUGUUUUACAAUCGUUGUAAAAGUGUGACUAAUAAGAAGUAGAAGAUAUAUGAGAGAAGAAAAGGUGCUUUACAUUCGGAACGUGAAUAAAAUAUAGAUCUCUGUGAAAGCAGAUAGUACUUACUUCCUCAUAUGAACUACCAAAGAAAUUGAAAAAAACCAAAGAUUGUCUUUACAUUCCAAUUUUAAGGAAUUUAAUUCCGUCACUAUAGUAGAGAUGGAUGAAUGUUUUGUUUGACAAAACAUUGUUCUUUAUUAAUCAAUGAUUGGAUUAUAGUAAUCUAACUGAUUGUCUCUAUAGUAGAGAUGAUAUGGUAGUGUUAACUGUUUAGAAUAUAAAUGAUGCUUAAUACCCAAAAGGGUUGCAAGGUAGUGACUAAUCCCAACUAAGUUGUGAUACCUCUAAAACCAUAAGUUACGAGUUGGUGAAAGAUGGAUGCUUUGGAUCAUUAGAUCCGGAUCCAAUACCUUCUUGUUAAAGUUGUAUAGAGGCGAAAUGUUCGAAUCUUUAUUCUUUUGGAAAGAAGAAAGAAUCACAAAGUUGUUGAGGUUAAUUCACUUAGAUGUUAGUGGCACUUGUCCACAACAUAAUACUACUCAUGUUGUAUGACAUUCACCGAAGAUCACUCUUGGUUGGACUAUAGUUUAUUUUGAAUAAACACAAGUCCGAAUACUUUGCAAAAGGUUUCAAAGAAUUCAAGAAAUGUAAGUUGAUGAGUAAGACGUCUAAAGUAUUUACCUCCUUAGAUUUGAUCCAAGGAAAAGUAACACUUUAGAUGAGUUUCCUUGAAAGAUAUCAAGGAAAGAAGCAUCAUAAGAUAAUGAAUUUCUCCAUUAGGAGAAGAACGAACAUGAAUAAGAUUUAGUUCGUCAGAUGUUAUCUAUUACCCAUAUAUAGGAUAUAUACUUCUAAAAACAAUAUGAUUGUAAAUUAGAAGAUCUUUCCAAAAUUUUCAUGACUCCAUAAGAUGUAGUUGGAAAGAAAGACAAAUCUUAAGCAUGUUAAGAUUUGGGGUUGUGUGCUAAUUAGCAAUAUUUGUUUGAUAACAAUCUUGUGGGAUAUCCUUAAAUUAACUUUUGGAUAUCGCUUCUAUAAACCAACUAACAAAUGUUGUUUUGUUGGGUAGUUCAUUGUAAUCCUACAAUGUGAUUUGCCUUAGAGCUAAUGAACGAGAGAUAGAACUCAAAGAAUGGGUUCUUUGAGAGACAAGAUGAUAAUCAACAAAUAUAACAACCUAGUUCCUAUACCACAAGCUCCAAGGUAGUCUAGAAGGAUUUAUAAACCGUCUCAGUUGAAUGGUUUGAACUUUAUGACUAUGUCAUAGAGUUGCACCUCUUAAUUCGAAAGAAAUAAGAAUGAAAAUCCUUAUGACUACAUUGAAUGUAUAUAUGAUAUAUACUCAAGGAAAUGGUAAAAUACCAUUUGACCCGAAAUAAUGAAACCUUCAUAAGCUAAUUGGUAGCUUAAGGCGACUACAAUAAAAAAGAAUGGUUGACUUUGAAGAAACCAUCUUUGAGAUAGUCUUGGUUUCGAUUAAUUCGAAGAUUGCUAGCUACAACUAAAUGGUGAUUCAAUAUUUGGACAUAAUAUGGGUUUCCAAAACCAUUGUUAAGAUAGUCUUGAUAAUAUAUGUCUAAAAUUAUAAAUCACAAGACAUGUAAGUUGUAGAGAUCCAUCCAUCAUGAAUCUUAGCAAGCUAGUGGGAGCUAUAAGCAUCUUAUGAGAAAAAGGAUUAAAUCGUUUGAUUUCUCAUAAAGAUGUAAAUGAAUCUUUUGUUUACUAGGUUUACAAAAGAUUAGUGGGAGUUAAAUCAUGUUCCUAAAAUUUAAAUAUAUAUGAUAUAUUAAUUUUGGAAAUGAAAUGAAUACUUCUUCGUUAAAGUUAUGACUUUAAUACAUUAUAUGAAGAUAGAAUGUAUAUGGGAGUUAAUCAUGUUCCUAAAAUUUAAAUAUAUAUGAUAUAUUAAUUUUGGAAAUAAAAAGAAUACUUCUUCGUUAAAGUUAUGACUUUAAAACAUUAUAUGAAGAUAGAAUGUAUAUGGGAGACAUAGUCUAUAUACAUGGGAUGGAAAUCUAUAAUGAUAGAUUUUAGGAUAUAAUUUGAUUAUAUCAAUCCCUAAUAAUAGACAAGAGAUGCUAGCAAGUUUCUCAUAUGAUGAUAAACUUCAAUCAAGAGGACAACUUUAGUGAGACUAAGAUGUUGCUCUUCUCAAAGGGAACGUACCCUUUGACUCCCAAAGAAAUAAAUGCGUAAAUAUAAUCCUUUAUGCGUAAGCGGAAAGGUGAUUUAUGUAUUUCAAUUAGAAGGACAACUCUAGUGAGACUAAGAAGUUGCUCUUCUAAAAGAGAACGUACUCUUUGACUCCCAAAGAAAUAAUGCGUAAAUAGAAUCCUUUAUGCAUACGCAUAAAGGGGAUUUAUGUAUUUCAUAUUGUAUGAAAAAUAUUGAUAUGAGUUGUACCUAGAACGGUACAAUACGAUAUCAGUGCAAGCCCAGGAUCAGAACCAUGGCAACUGUCAAGUGAAUCCUUAAGUAUUUAAGAAAUACUAAAGGAUA